GAUGAACGCUGGCGGCGUGCCUAAUACAUGCAAGUCGAGCGAACGGACGAGAAGCUUGCUUCUCUGAUGUUAGCGGCGGACGGGUGAGUAACACGUGGAUAACCUACCUAUAAGACUGGGAUAACUUCGGGAAACCGGAGCUAAUACCGGAUAAUAUUUUGAACCGCAUGGUUCAAAAGUGAAAGACGGUCUUGCUGUCACUUAUAGAUGGAUCCGCGCUGCAUUAGCUAGUUGGUAAGGUAACGGCUUACCAAGGCAACGAUGCAUAGCCGACCUGAGAGGGUGAUCGGCCACACUGGAACUGAGACACGGUCCAGACUCCUACGGGAGGCAGCAGUAGGGAAUCUUCCGCAGUGGGCGAAAGCCUGACGGAGCAACGCCGCGUGAGUGAUGAAGGUCUUCGGAUCGUAAAACUCUGUUAUUAGGGAGGAACAUAUGUGUAAGUAACUGUGCACAUCUUGACGGUACCUAAUCAGAAAGCCACGGCUAACUACGUG
rnacentral:rRNA from 1 species